rnacentral:rRNA from 1 species
GACGAACGCUGGCGGCGUGCUUAACACAUGCAAGUCGAACGGCAAGGCCCUGCUUGCAGGGUCCUCGAGUGGCGAACGGGUGAGUAACACGUGGGUGAUCUGCCCUGCACUUCGGGAUAAGCCUGGGAAACUGGGUCUAAUACCUGAUAGGAGCCAUUUUUAGUGUGAUGGUUGGAAAGUUUUUUCGGUGUAGGAUGAGCUCGCGGCCUAUCAGCUUGUUGGUGGGGUAAUGGCCUACCAAGGCGGCGACGGGUCGCCGGCCUGUGGGGGUGGACGGCCACACUGGGACUGAGAGACGGCCCAGACUCCGACGGGAGGAAGAAGGGGGGAAUAUUGCACAAGGGGCGCCAGCCGGAUGCAGCAGCGCCGCGGGGGGGAUGACGGCCUUCGGGUUGUAAAAUCCUUUCGCUAGGGACGAAGCUUUUUGUGACGGUACCUAGAUAAGAAGCACCGGCUAACUACGUG